GAGCAAUCCAACGAAAUAUUCCUCUAACUUUAAACAAAUCAUUGGGCAAAUUGUGGACCAGAUAAUUGACGAGAGAAACAAGGGAAGAGGUCUCAACCUCUGGAACCUAUUCAAAAAAUGGAAAAGGUGGAGAUUCAAGUACUGCAAGGCCUGGUUUACUUUUGUUUACAAUAAAACACCAAUAAUGGAAAUUCAAAGCAAGUCAAAUACCUUCGAUUGAUUCAACAAUAUGAAUAUUAUUCCAAUUACCUUCACAGAGUUAUUACUUUCUCAGCUAAUUGUGUUUUCCAGUAUUCAGGAUAAUCUAUGCUGAACGAGUUCUAUCAGUGAAUUGCCCUCUAGUUCAGUUGAGAUUAGUUUUCCUCAUCUAUUGAUAUAUUUUUCUGCCGUUGAAAGCCUCAUGACCAUUAACUCAAUACUCAAGGAUGUAUCAAAUGUUUUUUUCUGGGUCGAUAUUAUCAUUCAGCAACAAUAAUAAUAAUAAUGAUUCUAUUGAUUUAAAAAGUUGACGAUUAACACAUUAAUAAUAUUAUCAUGUUUAAAUUGAACAAAAUUUGACUUGAACUGGUACAAAAGGAUAAUUAAAUUGUCAAAUUUUUGGAAUAAUUUUCCCUGUAAGCGAAAAGAAAUAAUCAUUAUUAUUCAACACUGAAUUUUUCACCAUAUUUGCUCCAUUAAUUAGCAAAUUGAAUCAACGCUGACAAUUAAUAGGUUCUCCAUUGGGAUAGGCAUUGGUGGACAGUGAAAUUGUAAACAUUUGGAUUUCUGAUUGAAUCGCCUCACGAUAUGAUGACAAAAAUGACCACAGGAUUGAUCAAAUGCUAGUUGUGAUUGAUUUUGAUCAUCAAAGGUUUUUUAGUUUACCAAGAUGUUUGGAACAGAGAUUGUCAAAUUUAAUGACAAUAAGAAUGAUAAUAACAAUAACGAUCGGGAUAAUAAGGAUCAAGAAAAUUACAAUUGGAAAAUGUAUUUGAAAGUUAAGCUGGUUAUUUUACAAACCUCUAAGGCUUUGGCAUCAACCUCUUCAAAUAUUGAUAUUGUGGGUAUCAUCUCUUUCUUACGGGAAGGCGGAGGGCGAGCCGCAAAUUCUGGAGCCUCAUCAGUUAUCGGAUCAUUUACAGUUUGUACGGAAGCAUCUUUACAUUCACCUAGAAGGAUUAAACAAUUAAGCAGUUGAUUAGUCUUGUGGUACAAGUUUCUGGUUACAAUUGGCUUUGGUUAAACAUAAGAAAGACCUGUAAGUCAGGUUAUUUCAAUUGCACACAUUUGGAAUUACUUUGAUUCAAUUGUAUUACAAUUAGUAAAAAGAUUGGCUGUUAACCAUAAAUCUUGAUUCUGAUUUCCAGGAAUUCGGUUCAAGUCUUUAGACCAGAAAUAAUCAAGUCUCAGAGUUUGGUCUAGCAUUUUGAAAAAUUAAAGUAUCUGAUGAUGGUUCAACUGUAUUUAACCUUUAAUUGAUGUUUACUCAAUCUGUCAUUUAAUUGUUCCAUUAUCAUUAUUAAUCAUUUAGCUUGUCAACUCCAUUCCAUGCUGUCUUUCAAUACAUUUAACCAGGAUUUUCUUGUUAGUAAUUCAUCUUAAUCAAUCAUUCGUCAAUGAAAGCAAACAUAAUACGUCUGAGGAUAAUGAUUACAACGAGUGGUGGUUGAAGGCCUCAUGAUUAUUUGGAAACAAUAUUGGAUGAUAUGUAAUCAAUAAAUGGGAAACUAAUUAAUGAUAAUCUAUGGUAACUUAUUGCUAGUUUAAUCAAUUGCUCUCAGUGGAUCACUAUCAGAAUCGUUGGCUAAUUGUUUCUCUAUAUGUGAAAAUGGUGAAGACAAGCUGUACGAUUGUAAUACAUUUAAAUCAUUGUCACCCGCAUUGGCAGCCAAAACUUCAC